rnacentral:rRNA from 1 species
AGAGUUUGAUCCUGGCUCAGAAUGAACGCUGGCGGCGUGCCUAACACAUGCAAGUCGGAUGUGCCGCAAGGUGCAUGGCAGACGGGUGAGUAACGCGUAGGGAAUCUACCUUUUUGUGGGGAAUAACGCUCCGAAAGGAGUGGUAAUACCGCAUGAGACCGUGGCCUGGGAUGGUUACGGUGAAACCUGGGGACCGCAAGGCCUGGGGCAAAGAGAGGAUCCUGCGUCUGAUUAGCUAGUUGGCGGGGUAAUGGCCCACCAAGGCGACGAUCAGUAGCCGGCCUGAGAGGGUGAUCGGCCACACUGGAACUGAGACACGGUCCAGACUCCUACGGGAGGCAGCAGUGGGGAAUUUUGGACAAUGGGCGCAAGCCUGAUCCAGCCAUGCCGCGUGAGUGAAGAAGGCCUUCGGGUUGUAAAGCUCUUUCGGCGGGGAAGAAAUCGCAUUCUCUAAUACAGGAUGUGGAUGACGGUACCCGAAUAAGAAGCACCGGCUAACUACGUGCCAGCAGCCGCGGUAAUACGUAGGGUGCGAGCGUUAAUCGGAAUUACUGGGCGUAAAGCGUGCGCAGGCGGUUAUAUAAGUCAGAUGUGAAAUCCCCGGGCUCAACCUGGGAACUGCAUUUGAGACUGUAUGGCUAGAGUGUGUCAGAGGGGGGUAGAAUUCCACGUGUAGCAGUGAAAUGCGUAGAUAUGUGGAGGAAUACCGAUGGCGAAGGCAGCCCCCUGGGAUAACACUGACGCUCAUGCACGAAAGCGUGGGGAGCAAACAGGAUUAGAUACCCUGGUAGUCC